rnacentral:misc_RNA from 1 species
UAUCCGUAGGUGAACCUGCGGAAGGAUCAUUAACAAAUCCAUUUGGUCGUCGCAAGACGGCCUUAUAUUCACCCGCUUAUGAGCUUUGGCUCAUAUUCGGUCCUUAGUCCUUGGACCGAGGCGGUUGCUGGUUUCUUUAACUAGGCCCAGCAACCAUAUCCACACGUUUAUUAAGUUUGACUGAUAUAUUGGUAUGAAAUUAUAAAUGACAACUUUUAACAAUGGAUCUCUUGGCUCUU